GUCCACUGCUCAGGGAACUACAGGGCGAUCGGAACGCACCUUAUGAGUUGUAUAACAUAACAAAUUAUCUUGAAGGAGUAGAUAUUUACCAGAAGUCAUCAAUGUGGAAACGAAGCGCUCACUGCACAACACCUGGCUCAAACAGGACUGCUGGUGUCUGCUUGUGCCAAAAGCAGGUAAACCUGGGACACAUGACCUGUCAGCUGCAUCUCACAGGAUUCCCACUGCAUCACACCGCCUGCUACACAGAAGAGCCUGAUGGUGGAUUAUCAUUAUUAAUAUCAUAUGUUUAUCCUUGUUAAUGGUUUGAUUUGUUUCGGUUGUAUCUUGUAAUUUAAUCUCAUUUAUCUAUUUUUUUUAAUCUAGCUUUUAUUUACCUCUGUAUCAUUAUUUUUAAACCUCUUAAAUUGAUUUUGAUAUAAUUUUUCAU